rnacentral:pre_miRNA from 1 species
GUUGAGGGGAAUGUUGGCUGGCUCGAAGCUUUUCAAAUUGAGAGAGAUAUUAUAAGGCUUUUAGUUUUGGGUUAAAUUACAAAACUUUUGAAAAGCUUCGUCUCUCUCAAGGUUUCGGACCAGGCUUCAUUCCCUUCAAA